GACGAACGCUGGCGGCGUGCUUAACACAUGCAAGUCGAACGGAAAGGCCCUGCUUUUGUGGGGUGCUCGAGUGGCGAACGGGUGAGUACCCCGUAAGAAACCUUCCCUUGCUUUUGGAAUACUUUCAGGAAACGGGGGCUAAUCCCGGUUAGAAGCUCUUCCUCCAUGGGGGGGUUUGGAAAUUUCCGCCGGUUGGGGAGGGUCUCGCGGCUUAUCAGUUUGUGGGUGGGGUAGUGGCUUCCCAGGGCUUUGACGGGUAGCCGGCCUGAGAGGGUGACCGGCCACAUUGGGACUGAGAUACGGCCCAGAAUCAUACGGGAGGCAGCAGUGGGGAAUAUUGCACAAUGGGCGGAAGCCUGAUGCAGCAACGCCGCGUGCGGGAUGACGGCCUUCGGGUUGUAAACCGCUUUCGCCUGUGACGAAGCGUGAGUGACGGUAAUGGGUAAGAAGCACCGGCUAACUACGUG
rnacentral:rRNA from 1 species